rnacentral:rRNA from 1 species
GAUGAACGCUGGCGGCGUGCCUAAUACAUGCAAGUCGAGCGAACGGACGAGAAGCUUGCUUCUCUGAUGUUAGCGGCGGACGGGUGAGUAACACGUGGAUAACCUACCUAUAAGACUGGGAUAACUUCGGGAAACCGGAGCUAAUACCGGAUGAUAUUUUGAACCGCAUGGUUCAAAAGUGAAAGACGGUCUUGCUGUCACUUAUAGAUGGAUCCGCGCUGCAUUAGCUAGUUGGUAAGGUAACGGCUUACCAAGGCAACGAUGCAUAGCCGACCUGAGAGGGUGAUCGGCCACACUGGAACUGAGACACGGUCCAGACUCCUACGGGAGGCAGCAGUAGGGAAUCUUCCGCAAUGGGCGAAAGCCUGACGGAGCAACGCCGCGUGAGUGAUGAAGGUCUUCGGAUCGUAAAACUCUGUUAUUAGGGAGAACAUAUGUGUAAGUAACUGUGCACAUCUUGACGGUACCUAAUCAGAAAGCCACGGCUAACUACGUG